rnacentral:lncRNA from 1 species
GGCUGUCUCUGCACCAACGUGACGCUUCGCCUGGUACCUGCGUGUUUCUGUUUGUCAGUUGUGCGGCACUACGUUUGAGUUCUGACUUCUGUUUUAACAGGCUGGUAAUACUGACUUUUUUUUUCCCCCCCUUAAGAAAACUUAUGACGUCGCUUACUAGACCGCUGAAGACGACCUUCACGUUUGCAGUGCCCUGGGACGGCAGGCUGAGGUAGCGGCCUCGGCAGCGCCCAGCUCAGGUUAUUGAUACUAUAGCUGGGUGCGCGUACUCCACGCGGACAGACCUGCAGGCACAGGCAGAGUCACGUCGCCCCUGAGGACGUUGUGCGAAGGACCAACCUGCCACGCUCUGCUUUAAUAAAGGUGAAAGGUCAAAGGGAGAAACAGAAGACCGAAAACCUUACAGUCUCUUCUGUAAAUUACAAAGAGUUUCAAAGGGCAAGACUGUACCACUGAUAUAUUGGUGUGAGUAUGGUGGUUGCAGUUUUGAAGCUGAUGAAACAUCUAAAUGCCUUUUUCUGUCAUCCUUCUGAAUCAAGAUAAAUGUUUUCAAUCAAUUUCUACUAACAGCUAUUUUUAUCUAUUCAUUGAGUGGUGAAGAUUGAUGAUAUGUGCUUAGAAAAAUAAGUGAGUUCUGUUUAAAUGAUGAAAACUGUAAUGCCAAAGCCCAUGGAAGAAGCAUAACUUCAUUUACAUUCUUAAUUUGUUCUUUGCUGUUUUCUUUUUUAACUUUACUGCAUCCAUUUUGUGUCUAAACUACACGCUGA